UCUUCUGCUCCUCUGAUCGUCCUCCCCUUCCCCUGCCAGUCCUUCCCACUCUUCUUUUCUGGUUCCUGUGCAUCUUGCCAGCCUGCUGUGUGGGAGUGCCUCCCGGUCCAGUCUCCAUCUGCCAUCCCUGGCAAGGCCUCCUCUCCCAGUCUGUGGCUUUUCACACCAUCUGGGUGACUCUGGAGAACCUUUGUCCCCAGUACCGACUCUGAGUUCCUGACUCUAUAGCCAGCCACCCCCCUGGCUGUCUAAGCAGCAUCUCAGAUCCAGUGUGCCCAAGACAGAGUCCCAAAGCCUCAUGGAUCCAGGUGGCGUCUGCUGGCUGAGGAUGGUGAAGUAGGUCCGCAGAGUGAAAUAGAGGCCUUAGACCUAGACUAUGUGGCCGUGGAUUUUCAGCAGAGGUGCCACAGCAAUCUCACAGGGAAGUGAGAAGCUGAGUGUCCAUGUGGAGGAGAAGGAACCUUGACCCUCACCUCAUUCUAUGCACAAAAAUCAAUUCCAGGUGGAUUCUGCUCUUUUCUCCCAAACCUGUGCCUCCUGUAGGCUUCCUCACUUCAACUAAGGCAACUCAAUCCUUCCAGUCCCUCAGCUGGAAACCUUGAGGUCUCUCCCCAUAAUCAUCUAGUGGGGCACAUCAGACCAGCCUGCAGUGUAUUGCCACCUGUUGCUUGGACCCUUGUACCUGUUCACCUCGAGGUUCAUUCUCAUCAGAACACCCAGGGAAAUCUUGCUUAUUUAUAAGUCAGAUGAAAUUAUUCUAUUCAAAACCACCAACCCUCGUCUCACUUGGAGUACAAGCAAUUCUUCUUGUGACCCACAGGACUCCCAUAACCCUGGGCUAUGAGCACCUUGGGCUCACACUACUCCUCACACCUGUGAAAGUAUCUGAGACACCCUGACAUAUUUUAGCCAUUCAAUAAACACUAAGUGAAAGAAUAAGUUGGAAUUCCAGUCCCCAGACCACUGGUUUCCCAUUUCCAAAACCAGUGUUUGGGGGCUGGCUCAAUUUCCUUGUAUAUUGCUUGGCUAUUUGAUUAGAUUUAAGAGCAUUGUGGCAGGAAGUGUGGGCCUUACCUCACACUGCUUUAUGUUCUCCAGUGUUGCUAACGUGGUGAGGGGUUGGUGGUGGUGGCUUGCUUAACUCUUGUUCACAUGAGACCUCAUGCCAUAUCAUAUAAAUAGGUGCACCUGUGUUAAUGAACUAUGAGGACUACCUCCUUCUAAUUCUCUACAAACUAUGUCAUACCUUAUAAAUGUUUGAGUUCUGCUGUGCUUGUGUUUCGGGACAGUCGUGUAGUAUGGCUUCUGUUGUCAUAAGGGCUGUGUCCACACUUGUAAGCCAGUGUUGAGGCACUCGCUGAGGAGUAGCUGACUGGGAGGAGACAGAGUGGCAGCAAACUGGGGAGAUGCACAAGUUCUGCCCAGGAGCUGCUCAGUCCCUGUGGAGGUGCUGGGCGAGGCCUGGGGAUAUAUGUCUCUAAGGGCCAGCUUCAGGUCAAGUCCCAAAACCCUUCUGAGUGAAGGUGGAUCUGCUUCCCAGGACACACUCAGCAGUUUAGCAUAAUCUAGGUUGUCUGGUCGGACAGGUAUAUGAUGUGAACCAUGUAUAAGCAUUAAAAUUUUCUAGUACCCCCCCAAUUUUUUUCUAGUACCACAUUAUAAAAACAUGAUUAAACCUGUGAAAUUAAUCUUGAUAAUAUAUUUGACUUAAUCCAAUAUAGCCCAAGUAUUACUAUCUCCACAUGGAAUCCAAGGAUACAAUGUGUCAGAUUUGUCAAUGGGAUGUUUUGUGUCCAUUUGUCAUACUGAAUCUUCAAAGCCUGAUACACUGCUCCCCAUAGAGCACAUCUGGGUGAGGACUAGCCUCAUGUCCAGAGCUUGAUGGCCCCAGGGCUAGGAAACGGAGGAAGCAGAGGCCCAGGGUAAAGCAGCUUGCUAUGUGAGCUGUGGAUACUUUCCAGGACGCCCUGUAUGGGGACAGCCUGCUCGCUAAUCCUCUCCUGUUGUGCAGGCUCUGGCUGACUCCACCACUGGUGUGGCUCCCCUUGAUCAAACCCGGGGGAGAGGGCUGCAGAGCCCCUGGAUGUGGCACCAGCCAUGGAGGUAAACAGACCCACACUCAUGGGCUCCCGGGUCCCGCUGUAAGAAAGAGCAAAGAGGGCUGUCACGUUGACCAGGACGAAGAGCUGAGGCUUGGGGCCCCAGGGCCUGGACCCACGCUGUGUACAAAGGCAAAGAAGCAUCAUUUGUGUGGCUUCCUCUUUCCCCUUCCUGUUCCUCCCCUGUACGCCUCCGUUGGCCUUUGCUUCUUCUUUCUCCUCUUCCACAUCCCCCCCCCCCUUCUCCCAUCUUCCACCAUUCUCUCAUCUCCCUUUUCCUCUUCUCCAAAAUAACACAUGCAACUUGCUGACUUGCUCAGGGGUCUGUUGGAGCAAAGGCAUUAGCACCAACUUUAUGAAACCUCAUUCUGAAGGCUCUUCCUUAUAUAGAAAAAAGCUUAAAAUGGAGACCACAGCCCCUUGAAGCCACAGAAGAUCCCAC
rnacentral:lncRNA from 1 species